rnacentral:rRNA from 1 species
UACGUAGGGGGCUAGCGUUGUCCGGAAUCAUUGGGCGUAAAGCGCGUGUAGGCGGUUCGGUAAGUCCGCUGUGAAAGUCGGGGGCUCAACCCUCGGAUGCCGGUGGAUACUGUCGGACUAGAGUACGGAAGAGGCGAGUGGAAUUCCUGGUGUAGCGGUGAAAUGCGCAGAUAUCAGGAGGAACACCAAUUGCGAAGGCAGCUCGCUGGGACGUUACUGACGCUGAGACGCGAAAGCGUGGGGAGCAAACAGG